rnacentral:sRNA from 2 species
GAAUCGUAUCAGCCGAAUUUCUUUUUUGAAAACGGGGGAACCAAACCGCUGUCCGGAGCAAUCCGCCAGCAUGGGGUGAAUUUCGAGCAUUCCGCUUGAAUAGGGCUGCCUUUCCAGGCCCGAAUCCGUCAGCUAACCUCGCAGGCUGUGUGGAACAGGACU